UCCUACGGGACGCAGCAGUGAGGAAUAUUGGUCAAUGGCCGGAAGGCUGAACCAGCCAAGCCGCGUGAAGGACGAAGGUGCCAAGCAUUGUAAACUUCUUUUGUCAAGGGACAAAAUCAGGCUCGAGAGCCUGACCGAGAGUACCUGAAGAAAAAGCAUCGGCUAACUCCGUGCCAGCAGCCGCGGUAAUACGGAGGAUGCGAGCGUUAUCCGGAUUUAUUGGGUUUAAAGGGUGCGUAGGCGGAAUAUCAAGUCAGCGGUACAAAUUCGGGGCUCAACCCCGUCGUGCCGUUGACACUGAUGUU
rnacentral:rRNA from 1 species